rnacentral:ncRNA from 1 species
AAGUUGUUGCAUUUAAAAAGCUUGUAGUUGGAUUUAAGGGUGGGUCGAUCAGUCCGCCUCACAGUGAGCACUGGUUUGCUCGUCCCUACUGUCGGUGAUGCUCUCCUGGCCUUAAUCGGCUGGGUCGUUCAUUCAGUGCUGUUACUUUGAAGAAAUUAGAGUGCUCAAAGCAGGCCUACAUUUGUAUACAUUAGCAUAGGAUAACAUCAUAGGAUUUUGAUCCUAUUGUGUUGGCCUUCAGGAUCAAAGUAAUGAUUAACAGGGACAGUUGGGGGCAUUUUUAUUUCAUAGUCAGAGGUGAAAUUCUUGGAUUUAUGAAAGAGGAACAACUGCGAAAGCAUUUUCCAAGGAUGUUUUCAUUAAUCAAGAAUGAAAGUUGGGGGCUCAAAGACUCGAUGGUUAGGCAGAAUCGCAUGACUACUUUAACGUCAUUAGUUGGGUAUG